rnacentral:rRNA from 1 species
GUAGUCCUAACUGUAAACGAUGUGUACUUGAUGUAGUUGGUCUCAACCCCGACUGUGUCGAAGCGAACGCGAUAAGUACACCGCCUGAGGAGUACGCUCGCAAGGGUGAAACUCAAAAGAAUUGACGGGGGCCCGCACAGGCAGUGGAGCAUGUGGUUUAAUUCGAUGCAACGCGAAGAACCUUACCCAGGUUUGACAUGUAGCGGACAGUAGCAGAAAUGUUAUCUUCCGUAAGGACCGCUACACAGGUGCUGCAUGGCUGUCGUCAGCUCGUGCCGUGAGGUGUUGGGUUAAGUCCCGCAACGAGCGCAACCCUUAUCAUUAGUUGCCAACAUUUAAGGUGGGAACUCUAAUGAGACUGCCUGGGUUAACCAGGAGGAAGGUGAGGAUGACGUCAAGUCAGCAUGGCCCUUAUGUCUGGGGCGACACACGUGCUACAAUGGCCGGUACAGAAGGCAGCAAAGCCGCAAGGUGAAGCAAAUCCCUAAAGCCGGUCCCAGUUCAGAUUGUAGUCUGCAACUCGACUACAUGAAGUUGGAAUUGCUAGUAAUGGCGCGUCAGCCACAGCGCCGUGAAUACGUUCCCGGGCCUUGUACACACCGCCCGUCACAUCAUGGGAGUUGGUUUUACCCGAAGUCGCUGACUCAACCGCAAGGAGAGAGGUGCCUAAGGUAAGGCUGAUGACUGGGAUG